AAACUGGAGGAUGAAGAACUUGUCUCCUACAUCCUCAUAGGCCUUGGAGAGGAGUUCGAGUUUGUUGUGUCGGCCGUGGCAGCGAGGAUCGAACCCAUCUCUGUUCAUGAGCUCUACACCCAGCUCAUCUCCUUCGAGC